rnacentral:rRNA from 1 species
CCUACGGGAGGCAGCGGUGGGGAAUAUUGGACAAUGGGGGCAACCCUGAUCCAGCCAUGCCGCGUGUGUGAAGAAGGCCCUCGGGUUGUAAAGCACUUUCAGUGAGGAAGAACGCCUGGUGGUUAAUACCCAUCAGGAAAGACAUCACUCACAGAAGAAGCACCGGCUAACUCCGUGCCAGCAGCCGCGGUAAUACGGAGGGUGCGAGCGUUAAUCGGAAUUACUGGGCGUAAAGCGCGCGUAGGUGGCUUGAUAAGCCGGUUGUGAAAGCCCCGGGCUCAACCUGGGAACGGCAUCCGGAACUGUCAAGCUAGAGUGCAGGAGAGGAAGGUAGAAUUCCCGGUGUAGCGGUGAAAUGCGUAGAGAUCGGGAGGAAUACCAGUGGCGAAGGCGGCCUUCUGGACUGACACUGACACUGAGGUGCGAAAGCGUGGGUAGCAGACAGGAUUAGAUACCCGAGUAGUC